AUGCACACAAAAUAUGCACACUCUGACACAUGGCAGAGCAAAGAGAAAGGGAAAAGAAGUCUAAAAGAAGAAGCCAGCAACCAAAGGUCAGCUCGGGCGGCUCAGCCACGUGCAGUCCACCCACAACCCUGGUCAGGUCAUGUGAGACGAAGACCAAAGCCUCAUCAACACUCCAUUGUCUUCCAGAGCCCUGCCUGUGCUGUACCCUCCAGCCCAGGACUGCUUUGCUCACCCGUCCCCGAGGGGAUGCUCCAGGGCUCUUUCAGUCCUCACCUGCAGAAAGAACUGAGUGAUGCUCAGGCCCAAGAUCUUCACUUGCAACUCUGACGUUCAGUUUUUCCCAUCUCACCCAUCCUGUCAGCCUCA
rnacentral:lncRNA from 1 species